rnacentral:rRNA from 1 species
AACGCGAAGAACCUUACCUGGGCUCGAAAUGCAGGAGACCGGGGUAGAAAUAUCCCUUCCCCGCAAGGGGCUGCUGUAUAGGUGCUGCAUGGCUGUCGUCAGCUCGUGUCGUGAGAUGUUGGGUUAAGUCCCGCAACGAGCGCAACCCUCAUCCCUAGUUGCCAUCGGGUCAAGCCGGGCACUCUAGUGAAACCGCCCCGGAUAACGGGGAGGAAGGUGGGGAUGACGUCAAGUCCUCAUGGCCUUUAUGUCCAGGGCUACACACGUGCUACAAUGGUCGGUACAAACCGUCGCGAAACUGCAAAGUAGAGCUAAUCGGAAAAAGCCGGCCUCAGUUCGGAUUGGAGUCUGCAACUCGACUCCAUGAAGCUGGAAUCGCUAGUAAUCGCAGAUCAGAACGCUGCGGUGAAUACGUUCCCGGGCCUUGUA